AAGUUUCACAGAAUGCUUCCGUAAAAAUACGAAAAAAAAAAGAAAAAAGAAAAAUUAGCCAGGCAUGGUGGAAGGUGACUGUAAUCCCAGCUACUCAGUAGGCUGAGGCAGGGGAAUCUCUUGAAACUGGGAGGCAGAGGUAGCAGUGAGCUGAGAUCACACCACUGCACUCCAGCCUGGACUACAGAGUGAGACUCAGUCUCAAAAAAAAAAAAAUUUAAUUAAAAAAUUAAAAACAAAAAGAGAAUUUGGGGGUUUUAAGACAACUUCUUGUUGGAUCCAAUUAGGUCUUCAUUGUUUUUAGCUAAUAGUGACAUGGACUCAGAGAUUAUUCCAGGUGCAGGAGGGUUGAUUCUGACGGUCUCUUGCUGUUUUCUUGUCUUUGUAUAAUUACUGUUCUCUUCAACCCACCCAUUUCUUUGCAGAAAUCUUUUUUAAUUUCUGGGAUACAUGUGCAGGAUGUGCAGGUUUGUUACAUAGGUAAACGUGUGCCAUGGUGGUUCUUUGCAGGAAUCUUUAAGUCACUCAUCCAUUUCAUGAGGGUUAGUUUAGUUCAAACCAGGUAAUACAUUUUAAUGGAGCAUGAGCAAACUGCAAAACAUUGCAAUAGGAAAGCUAACAAAGUAGUCAGGAGGCCACUGUCCACACUUUUGCAUAAUGAACCCCCUCCUUCCCUCAGUAACAUCUAUGUGCCACGACUGGCUGAUGUCGGGCACCAGUCACUAUCCAGAUAGAUUUUUUUAAAGAUAGCAUAACUAUCCAUAUAAAGUCUAAUAUCUUCAUUUUGCACCUCAGUGGUCUGUGUGGGCACCCCCAUAUAAAGACCAAUGUAUUUGUUUUCCAGAUGCAGAAAGAUGAGGCACAGAGGAGUGGCCACCUGCUCCAGGUCCUGUAGUUAAACAUUACUGUCAGGAUUAGAGUCCUGGGGUCCAAACACCCAGUGCUCUCUCCACACUAUCAUGGUGCCCAAUUCAUACUCCUGCCACGACUACCCUUUCCAUUUCUGGCCCUGUCUGAAGCCCCUAAUUCCCACUGAAAACAAUAAAUGCUCUAAAAUUAAGGCAACAAUUUCACACAGUAGAGCAAAUGGGUGGCUGAGAGUGAAUUUACCCAGCAGCAAAGCCAGUGUAGAAGGCGCCAUUUUUUGGUUACCAUCGGAUUAAGGUUGGGCCCCAGAGGGUCACCCCCAUCUUCGUUUCUGUUGUGAACCCCUCUGAGUCAAAUGGUAACAAUAGUUGUUGUAAUUGUAAGUGAUAACAUUGAAUUAGCGACUAUUGAAAAGUGUAAAUUAUAAUAGCAAUUGUUGAGAAUGAACCUUGUAACGGUGAGCUAACAAAGGAGUUUUAUGCUAAUGAGUCCAUCAAGAAAGACACUGGGGCCGGAGGCGGUGGUUUGUGCCUGUAAUCCCAACAAUUUGGGAGGCCAAGGCAGGCAGAUCACUUGAGCUCAGGAGUUCAAGACCAGCCUGGCCAACCUGAUGAAACCCCGUCUUUACAAAAAAUACAAAAAUUAGCAGGGCGUUGUGGCAUGCCCCUGUAGUCUUAGCUACUCUGGAGGCUGAGGUGGGUGAAUGGCUUGAACCCAGGAGGCAGAGGUUGCAGCAAGCCGAGAUCAUCAUGCCGCUGCACUCCAGCCUGGAUGAUAGAACAAAACUCCAUCUCAAAAAAAAAAAAAAGAAAAGAAUAGAAAAGAAAAAGACAUUGGGAUGUAAGCUGAGAAAGGGAGAGUCUAAGGUUUUACAAAAAUAAGGAAGUUAUUUUAAAAUACAUUACUUUUGUUUCUUUGUUUUAAAUGGAUUACAGAACAAUCAACAGAGCAGACAAGUGUGUUGAUGACAGCUCUCAAGCUUUCACGAGGUGUAAUAGAACUGAUGAGCCCAUUCCACUGAGACUAGCAGUACCCAGGAGAGCCAGGAAGGUAAAGAGACCACCUACGACAGUGUAAUCCGUCCAAAUAAGGACAUCAAGUCAAAUGGAUGGAGGGAGCCGAAGCAUGGAAAACUAAUGCAAGCCAAUAAUGCAACUUCUGGAGUUACCGGGGUGGGCCACCGGACCCCUGAGCUUAAUAACCGGAAGAUUUGAGAAAGGCAUGCAGCAGGCAAAGAUCGCAGAAAGAGUGGAGAACUGGUGCCACUCGGACACCUUAGCUCGCUGAGAGAAAUGGAGACGGCCUCCAGGACAUCUUAGGACCCUGGCUGAUUCCGAGAAUCACAAAUCACAUCUCUGAAAAAAGUGAGAAGUUCAUUCUCUCAUUCAGUGCAAAAAAUGUUUAUUGAACACCUAUGUGCCAGACACAACUGAGAUGCUGGUGAUAUGAUGCAGACAAAGUAGGCUCAGAUCCCUGGCCGGGAAGAAUUCACGUACUAUUUAUGCAUUCUGGUCAGUCCAUCUGCUCCUCCUACAUUGCCUCUGCCACCUCAACUCUGUCUGCCCCCACCCCCAACACACGCACACACAGUACAAUAUUUGGCUGAUUCAUCUUGAUAUGUUCAAUGUUUUUCUUUCCAAGAAAAACGUUGAACAAAAUGAGAAAGCAACAGAUUGGUAAGGGAUUAGAGCUUGGUGGUCUCAGAUAACCCCAUCCUUCAGUGAGGGGCUGCUCGUGGAAUUAAUUACAUAUAUGACAACACCUAAAAUCCUGCAAAGCUUAGCCAUAUCAGCAUUUUAUGGAAUAGAAAAAAAGAUCAAGUCCCUGUCCUUCAAAGCUUGUACUCAUGAAAAAUAAGAUAGCAGCACCAAGCCAGGUGCAGUGGCUCACGCCUGUAAUCCCAGCACUUUGGGAGGCCAAGGCAGGCAGAUCAUGAGGUCAGGAGUUUGAGACCAGCCUGGCCAACAUAGUGAAACCCUGUCUCUACUAAAAAUACAAAAAUUAGCGGGGCAUGGUGGCGGGCUCCUGUAGUCCCAGCUACUUGGGAGGCUGAGGCAGGAGAAUCACUUGAGCCUGGGAGGCAGAGGUUGCAGUGAGCCAAGACCACACCAUUCACCAUUGCACUCCAGCCUGGGUGACAGAAUGAGACUCUGUCUCAAAAAAAAAAAAAAAGAGAUAGCAGCACCAAACA